UAGUGGUCCCAAGUAUGCUGCCGAGAAAAGCGUCGUACGUUGCCGAGGGUGCCCGUACCGUAAACCGACACAGGUAGGCGAGGAGAGUAUCCUAAGGCGCUCGAGUGAUCCAUGGUUAAGGAACUAGGCAAAUUAGCCCCGUAACUUCGGGAGAAGGGGCGCCUCUCUACAUCCAAAAGCGUAGGGAGGCCGCAGUGACCAGGUUCAAGCGACUGUUUAGCAAAAACACAGCUCUCUGCUAAAUCGUAAGAUGAUGUAUAGGGAGUGACACCUGCCCGGUGCUGGAA
rnacentral:rRNA from 14 species